GACGAACGCUGGCGGCGUGCUUAACACAUGCAAGUCGAACGCUGAAGCUCAGCUUUUGUUGGGUGGAUGAGUGGCGAACGGGUGAGUAACACGUGAGUAACCUGCCCCCUUCUUUGGGAUAACGCCCGGAAACGGGUGCUAAUACUGGAUAUUCACUGGUCUUCGCAUGGGGUUGGUGGAAAGGGUUUUUCUGGUGGGGGAUGGGCUCGCGGCCUAUCAGCUUGUUGGUGGGGUGAUGGCCUACCAAGGCUUUGACGGGUAGCCGGCCUGAGAGGGUGACCGGUAACAUUGGGACUGAGAUACGGCCCAGGCUCCUACGGGAGGCAGCAGUGGGGAAUAUUGCACAAUGGGCGCAAGCCUGAUGCAGCGACGCCGCGCGAGGGAUGGAGGCCUUCGGGUUGUGAACCUCUUUCGCUCAUGGUCAAGCCGCAACAAUGGUUGUGGUGAGGGUAGUGGGUAAAGAAGCGCCGGCUAACUACGUG
rnacentral:rRNA from 1 species